CUGAGGCAAGAGGGAAGUGUCCCAGAUAUGCAGCCGGUUUCCCCUGAGGGGUCUCGGAGUCCGGAACCCCCAACCCAAAUCUGGAGGAUGAGGAACCCGGAGUCUGCAUUUCUUAGUACCCGAGAAGGAGGGGCCUGAAUUCCAGAACUCCUGGGUGGUUGCCCCCUCCCUCUCCUGAGAUGUCAGGAAGGAGGGGGCCACCUGUGUCCUCCACAGGGGCCCCCCGAAGCCUGGGGACUCCCAGCCCCAGAGCUCCGAGGCGGAGGAGGUGCUGACAG
rnacentral:sRNA from 1 species